GACGAACGCUGGCGGCGUGCCUAACACAUGCAAGUUGAGCGACGAACCAGGGCUUGCCCUGGGGCAAAGCAGCGAACGGGUGAGUAACACGUGGGUAACCUACCCCGAUAACCGGGACAACCCGAGGAAACUCGGGCUAAUACCGGAUGUGCUCACUGGACUUCGGUUCAGUGCGUAAAGGAAGCUUCGGCCUCCGUAUCGGGAGGGGCCCGCGGCCCAUUAGUUUGUUGGUGAGGUAACGGCUCACCAAGACCGCGAUGGGUAGCUGGCCUGAGAGGACGAUCAGCCACACUGGGACUGAGACACGGCCCAGACUCCUACGGGAGGCAGCAGUGGGGAAUCUUGCGCAAUGCGCGAAAGCGUGACGCAGCAACGCCGCGUGGGGGAAGAAGGCCUUCGGGUUGUAAACCCCUUUCAGGAGGGACGAAGGUUCGGCGGUGAAUAGCCGUCCGGACUGACGGUACCUCCACAAGAAGCCCCGGCUAACUACGUG
rnacentral:rRNA from 1 species